CAACGACAUCAAACCACCUGAU
rnacentral:miRNA from 1 species